rnacentral:tRNA from 1 species
GGUUGUAGCUCAGUGGUAGAGUGCUUGUUUAGCAUGCUUGAGGUCCUGGGUCUGAACCCCCAGCACCA